rnacentral:rRNA from 1 species
GAUGAACGCUAGCGGCAGGCCUAAUACAUGCAAGUCGAGGGGUAGUGGAAGCUUGCUUCCAUGAGACCGGCGCACGGGUGCGUAACGCGUAUGCAACCUACCUCUAUCUGGGGGAUAGCCCGGAGAAAUCCGGAUUAACACCGCAUAAAAUCACAGUACGGCAUCGUACAAUGAUCAAAUAUUUAUAGGAUAGGGAUGGGCAUGCGUGUCAUUAGUUAGUUGGCGGGGUAACGGCCCACCAAGACCACGAUGACUAGGGGAUCUGAGAGGAUGGCCCCCCACACUGGUACUGAGACACGGACCAGACUCCUACGGGAGGCAGCAGUAAGGAAUAUUGGUCAAUGGAGGCAACUCUGAACCAGCCAUGCCGCGUGCAGGAAGAAGGCCUUCUGGGUUGUAAACUGCUUUUGCCAGGGGAUAAAAUGACCUUGCGAGGUUAAUUGAAGGUGCCUGGUGAAUAAGCCACGGCUAACUACGUGCCAGCAGCCGCGGUAAU